rnacentral:rRNA from 1 species
UGGGGAAUACUGGACAAUGGGCGAAAGCCUGAUCCAGCCAUGCCGCGUGUGUGAAGAAGGUCUUCGGAUUGUAAAGCACUUUAAGUUGGGAGGAAGGGCAGUUACCUAAUACGUAUCUGUUUUGACGUUACCGACAGAAUAAGCACCGGCUAACUCUGUGCCAGCAGCCGCGGUAAUACAGAGGGUGCAAGCGUUAAUCGGAAUUACUGGGCGUAAAGCGCGCGUAGGUGGUUUGUUAAGUUGGAUGUGAAAUCCCCGGGCUCAACCUGGGAACUGCAUUCAAAACUGACAAGCUAGAGUAUGGUAGAGGGUGGUGGAAUUUCCUGUGUAGCGGUGAAAUGCGUAGAUAUAGGAAGGAACACCAGUGGCGAAGGCGACCACCUGGACUGAUACUGACACUGAGGUGCGAAAGCGUGGGGAGCAAACAGGAUUAGAUACCCCGGUAGUCCCUGAGCGGGCUGGCAAGGCGCAU